rnacentral:sRNA from 1 species
AAGGACGGGGGAGGACGGCUGCUUCCGGCGCCAUAACUGCUGCCAUCUUUACGCUAUGGCUGCGUUCAGCCGUCAGGGAAAUUAAAGAGGGUGCUUUACUGUUGCCCCGAAAUUUUCACCAUGCGUCAGCAGGACAUUAAUGACACUGUCAGGCUUCUCAAGGAGAAGUGCCUUUUCACGGUACAGCAAGUCACCAAGAUUUUGCACAGUUGCCCCUCUGUUCUUCGAGAGGACCUGGGUCAACUGGAAUACAAGUUUCAGCAGCCUCUUCUUAGAGCAUGACUGCAAAGAAAAAGACUUUUGUUUUGCAAAAGAAAAGCAGCUCGGUGACUCCCUCCACAUCGCCACAGUUGAGUCAGACAGCAGUGGCAGUCGUUUGCCAGCGGAAGGAGUUCCUGCUAAGGGGAGGUGCAGGAGAACUAAUUUAUUAUUGUGCAACUGCCAGUCCUGCACAUUCCAAUUAUGGUAAGUGCUCUGCACAGGCAUGUAACAAAACAUAGACCUGUUUUGAAGUGGCUUGUUACCCAAGGGUGCCUCACUCUCAUCUGCACCAACAGGAAGAUGAACUGUGAAGCCUCCUUUAAGGGGCAGGAGGAGCAAAGCUGUCCUAGGCCAACCAGAGAUUCAUCUUUCAUGCACAGUGACACGUUGAUAAGAAAUUAUAGUCAGUAUGAAACUGAUAACAGGCUGUAGAUGGCUUUCUAUGGUAUAUCCCAGUCUCUUGCAAACGAUUGUGAAGAAUGCCAGUAUUGUUUAAGAUUCAGCAGUUUGUGUGGGGAGGCGGGGGCAGGAUGGGGGUUUGGUUGCCUAAAGAGUUUGGGAAAUGCUAGCUUAAACAAAAAAGAGAGAAAGUUUCUUUCAUGUCAGGAUUUAUGAAUGCCUGAGUCCAGUGUCAGUGAUGAAUUUCUAGUGACGGUCUUCGAGACUUUCUAAAUAUUAAGCGAUCAAGGCCCCUGCCCCACUUUUAGUUCCAAUAGAAUGCCAUUCACAAGAUCUGGGAGGCACUCUCUUAGCCCUCUCCUGGAACCCCCGGAAUUUCUCAGCAGCCCAGGCCCUCCCGCUGCCCGUGGCCCCUCCUCCCAGGUGCCAGGUGGUCUUCCAGCCUCUCCAAGUGCCCACCCUCCUGCCUCUUCCUCCCACUGCAGCUGAUCUAGGGGUUUCUUGGCCACAUUUCCCUUGAGAGAGAGUGGGAUUUGCCUCUAUCCACAGAGAGCCUCAUUUCCACCUGAAGAUGUAUUUGUCAGUGGCUAGACCAGGUUCAUGUCUGUUUCCCCUUGGGGAAUUCUGAAACCUUCCUGCCCGGGAGUCUGUAACACAGCAGCACAGGACCGAGCUUCCUUUAGCAGUGCAGAGUAAGUAGGCAGUGGCACUCUGAGAGCCCAGGGCUGGGCAAUCGCCCCCUACUUCCCAGCAGCUCUGUGGUAGUGGGGCGGGAGCAGCAGGGACGUACCUUAAGAUUUCUCCAGUGUCUGACUCUUACUUUGUUUCCUGAAAUAAUUAGAGAAAAGUCAUUUAAUGAAAAAGAGACUGUGUACCUUGAAUCCUACAGCUACCUCAGUCCAGGCUGCCUGCUGAGAUCCUGUCUUUAGCUCACAUACAUUCCAUGGUGGGAGACACCAUUAGUCCGACACCGCUGUGGAGAUUAGCAUUUUAGUUUGUGUGCACCCGCCUGGCUUGAGGCAGUAGUUUAGGAAUGACAAGGCUAGAAACCUGGCUGGCUGUAAGAGAGAGAGAGGACGGACGUGGGAGAAAGCAAGCAAAAGCUACCCUAGGGAAGAGGCGGUGACGUGCACAGGCCGAGCAGCACGGCUGGUGAGCUGCAGGCUGCAGCCUUGCCCUGACAUUUGGUAAUGCCAAACAAGUACGUGUGGCUACUCAUUGGUCUAUGAGGACGAUGACAGGCUUUGACUCUGUGGUUUCUAAAGCAUAUAAUAUUCUCAGAUACUUCUUUCAGCAAACCCCAAACAGUAGUAAUUCUUUUAACUACCUUGAACCCUUUGUGGAAAGAACCUGGGUGUGAGUGAAUAAAAAGUAAACAGCGAUGCGCUAUACUGGCCAUUAAAUACUCGGGGCUGUCAGUAACACCCUGUGCUUCCCAAUCAUAGCACCAUGUUCUGUGUGAAUAUGCAUAACCAGAGUGACCCCCCCCCAGCACCCACCACAUGACCUCCCCCUAGCACCCAGCAUGCCCGGCUGUGCCCCUCUGGGUAUGCUUACAUGCACAUAUAUGGACAUACAGUUUCGUAGCAGAACGUGGCUGCCCAGGGGCUGCCUGUCUGGGCGAGUAGACCGCCUGGCUCAGCCCACAGGCCUGCAGCAUCCCAUAGCACUGCCGCCCUUGCCCCAUCACCCUGUGGGCUACAUGCAGGACACGGCAUGGGCCUGCUCCCCAGAGGCACCUGUUUGGGGUCUUCUUGAGGCUUGUGCUUUCACAGCUCUCUUUGAAGCAGAUGUCUUGGUGAACUCUGUAGACUCUUUUAUACCUGUUGUCACAAGAAAGCUUUGUAAAACCAGACAAUGAAGCAAAAUGUUGCCGACUGCUUAACCUAGGCUAUGUGAACCCACAGGUAAACCUGAAGGUGUUUGAGGGAAAAGCUGCUAUUUUCUGAAUGAAAUGUUACCUCCUAUUGAUGUAUUAAAAUGUCUAACAU